ACAUCGGAUACGGUGGGCCGAUAUCCAAUAAAAGUUCAAAAGGAGUGGUUUGUUCCACAAUAGAAACGGGCUCGAAACGCUUUAUAGUUUAUUGCUUGAGUACAGAAAUUAAUUUUCCGCGGAUCCGAUAAAGU